UACGGGGGGGGCAAGCGUUGUUCGGAAUUACUGGGCGUAAAGGGCUCGUAGGUGGCCAACUAAGUCAGACGUGAAAUCCCUCAGCUUAACUUGGGGACUGCGUCCGAGACUGGAUGGCUUGAGUGCAGGAGAGGAACGCGGAAUUCCAGGUGUAGCGGUGAAAUGCGUAGAUAUCUGGAGGAACACCGGUGGCGAAGGCGGCGUUCUGGACUGCUACUGACACUGAGGAACGAAAGCCAGGGGAGCAAACGGG
rnacentral:rRNA from 1 species